GAUGAACGCUGGCGGCGUGCUUAACACAUGCAAGUCGAACGGAAAGGCUCCUGCUUGCUGGGGUACUCGAGUGGCGAACGGGUGAGUAACACGUGGGUGAUCUGCCCUGCACUUCGGGAUAAGCCUGGGAAACUGGGUCUAAUACCGGAUAGGACGAUGGGUUGGAUGCCAUUGUGGAAAGUUUUUCGGUGUGGGAUGAGCUCGCGGCCUAUCAGCUUGUUGGUGGGGUAAUGGCCUACCAAGGCGUCGACGGGUAGCCGGCCUGAGAGGGUGUACGGCCACAUUGGGACUGAGAUACGGCCCAGACUCCUACGGGAGGCAGCAGUGGGGAAUAUUGCACAAUGGGCGGAAGCCUGAUGCAGCGACGCCGCGUGGGGGAUGACGGCCUUCGGGUUGUAAACCCCUUUCGCUAGGGACGAAGCGUGAGUGACGGUACCUGGUGAAGAAGCACCGGCUAACUACGUG
rnacentral:rRNA from 1 species